UACGGAGGCGGCCAGCGUUAUCCGGAAUCACUGGGCUUAAAGCGUGCGUAGGCGGCUUGGCAAGUCUGGUGUUAAAGCCCGUUGCUCAACUCGGGAGCUGCGCUUGAGACUGUCAAGCUUGAGUAGGGAUGGGGCAGCGGGAAUGUUGGGUGUAGCGGUGAAAUGCGUAGAUAUCCGGUAGAACACCGGUUGCGAAAGCGCGCAGCUGGGCCUUUACUGACGCUGAGGCACGAAAGCGAGGGGAGCAAACGGG
rnacentral:rRNA from 1 species